AACCAUAGAAACCUGCGGAGUACCUGCGGAGGGAUCAUUACACAAUAAACAUAUGAAGGCUGCACCGCCAACAGGCGGCAAGGCUGGAGUAUUUUAUUACCCUUGUCUUUUGCGCACUUGUUGUUUCCUGGGCGGGUUCGCCCGCCUCCAGGACCACAUGAUAAACCUUUUUUAUGCAGUUGCAAUCAGCGUCAGUACAACAAAUGCAAAUCAUUUACAACUUUUAACAAUGGAUCUCAG
rnacentral:misc_RNA from 1 species